CUGAACUGACAGUUAAAGAUGAAACACAGAAAUCUUCCAGCCUGAUUGGAUUGUUUUCAGCUGAGGAUGUUGAUGCUUCACCUGCAGAGAGAAGCUUCAGAUGAAACGGAAAUAAAAACCCAACUCCAAGUUCAUUUCUGAUCUCCUGGUUCUGUGAGGAGAGAGGAAAACUCCGUUAAUCUGAGACUGAGUCAGACGCUGCCUCUGAUUUGUGGACCUGAUUGCCGAGGGACAACAGAUGAUGUGACUCACGCUGUAAUUACCGCGCUGACCUUGACAUUUCUGAUCGCUGCAGCGCUCCUUAUUCCCAGAGCUGCAGCUCCUCGUCCUCCGUCUGCGGCUCCAGACUCGUCACAAACCUGACCUGAAACCAGUCAGUCACGUGAUCCUCCAUCACCAUGGCAACCCUGCAGCUGGAGGAUCCGAGGAGGACGGGUCUUCAUCCCGAGGGACCGGCACGGAGGACGACCGACGAGUCAAACAUCCAGAUGUUUCCCCAACGGUUCAUCAUCCAAAACCAAACCAAUUAAUCAGUUUUGGAGUUUAAUUUGGGAAAAUCUGGAUUUUUUUCCACCAAUGCUCUUGGGUGAUGUCAGCACCCACGGCGGCCAUCUUGUUUGAUAAGCGUGUUUUCAGCUUCUGUUUAUUUGAACUUUGAAUUCAGGUCAAUUUUAUGAUGGAAUAUUAGGGAGAGGAAACUGAGAUUAAAGUCAAAGUUAAUUUAACUGAUCAAUAUCAAAUUAUCAAUACCAGGAUGUUGAAAUGACCAUGAAAAUGAUGAUCAGCUGAUCAAUGAGGGAGGAUUUGGAUUUUUGUGUUUUAUUUUGUUUAUCAACCAAUCAGAGCUCAGACUGAACCUGAAGAUUUAUGUCAGACACGCCUAGCAACGGGGUCAGACACGCCUAGCAACGGGGUCAGACACGCAUAGCAACGGUUCGGUGCUGGCCGGUCCUCUCGGUCCAGAAGGUUUCAGUGAAGUUCUGAUGCUGAAACAUUUGAACUGAGCAGAUGAGGAGGUCUCAGGCGGGCCGAGACCUCCUCAUCUGCUCCUCCUCUCUUCCUCAUCUCCUCAGCUCCUCUUCCUCCCUCCAGCGUGAUGAAGCUGCUCCUCACAGAUAAAAGCAGUGAUUACUCUGAAUUACAUCUCGGUCAUGGAGUGAUUAGAGCGGCGCAGGAGUCCAGCUGUGUGACGGGAUCAUUAAUUUGUCCUGCUGAGAUCCUCCAGUCCCGAUAAUUCCCGCUGCUAUUGUUUUCUGACAGCGGCCUGAGAAGUGAUCAUAAAUCAGAGCUUUCUGUUGGCGGCAGGACAAGAUGUCCCAUCCAGAAAGCAUUCAUCAUGUUAAUAAAAGUGUCACCGCCGCGCUGCUUUAAGCUCUCACUGAGCGAGUCAAUAUCAGCGCCGCUUUAACCAACUUUCUUCUAAACUGUCCGGUGGGACUGCAGAUGGGAGCGUUUCAUUAAAAGCUGCCCUGCAGCUCCAUCCGGUUCUGUUUGGGCUGAACGGAACCGCGGACCCGCCGCAUCUGCAAACAGAGUUUAGAUCACAACCUGAACCGAAAUGAACUGAAACACUGCAGGGAGUAAAACACUGACAGCAAUGUUCUGGUUUAUUCAGCCGACAGAGAAUAAAACGGGUUUUCUUUCUGAG